GUUGGCUGGGGACUAAAUGCAUUACAAAGUGCAAACCACACCACAGGGAUCAUCUGUGUACUUUUAGAAAGCUAGAGACCAAAUCCAAAAUUUUGGUAAACGAUAGGGACCGUCCGUGUACGUUACUAUUAAUUCUAGGAAAACGUAUGUUUAAUAUUGUUAUUUAUGGUGAUGUAACUAACUAUACAUUUUACAUAGGAACCUUGAAGCAAAUAACUUUUCGGGAACUGUUCCUUCUGAUUUGGGGAGAUUAAUAAAUUUACAAACAUUGAUUUUGUCCUCAAACCGGUUGACGGGAACGUUGCCAGCAUCCCUUGCUGAAUUGAGCAAUUUAAAAGAUUUCAGGAUAAGUGACAACAAUCUCAGUGGGUCCAUACCUAAUUUCAUAGAGAAUUGGAGACAACUCAAUAAACUAGAACUAAUUGGGACGGGGCUUUCGGGACCGAUUCCUUCAUCCAUUUCCUUUCUGAACUUAACUGACGCGAGAAUUUGUGAACUAAGUGGACCAACUCAGAGAUUCCGUCCGUUAGAUAAUGUUGUUGGUUUACUAACACUGUAUGUAGAAUGUCUUGUAUUUCAAAUUGUCGUUGUAAUCUAAUAUAUUGGUUUGUGUUUUAACGUGUAUAAAAUCAUAAUAUUUAUGUCAAU